UCUUCGACCGACUCCUCCACACCGUUACUGUGACUCACCUUGAUGGUUUCAGCUUCAGCCUCGGCCUCCAUGAUCAUCUUCAGACUGCAGAGACAGGACCAAAGAGAGGCAGAAGAUUCAGCAGGCCAUUCUGGGAACCUUCCUUAGAGAAAGAAAUGAAAGCAUCUGCAGGAGAAAACUGACCGCUGCGCCUCAGCCAGCUUCUCCAGGCGGUACCGCUCAGCCUCGGCAGGUUUCUUCACUUUGGCCUCUAGUUCCUUCUCCCUGCGCGUGAUCUCCUGCUCCUGGAGCAUGAUCUGCUGUGUCCGCUCAACCACUUGGACCUGCAUCUUCUCCUCCUCGAUGCGCUGCUUCGUCUUGGCCACCUGGGAAAGGAAAAUGAACAACACACUUACGGCGUACACAAACAGGGGAUGACGAACACUCUGCCUCCAGCUAUCAUCAGCGGAGGAGACCGACAGAUGCCUGGGAGGAGAUGGAGACAGAGCAGAGCAUUAAACCAUCACAGAGCAGAAUGGACCCAGGUUCUGUCGGCUGUUACCGUUUAGGCCUGAAUUACAGUUCUGCGUUAAAUCGA